rnacentral:tRNA from 1 species
UCCCCGGUGGUCCAGUGGUUAAGACUUUGCCCUCCAAUGCAAGGGGUGCAGGUUCGAUCCCUGGUUGGGGAA